rnacentral:rRNA from 1 species
UACGUAGGUGGCAAGCGUUGUCCGGAAUUAUUGGGCGUAAAGCGCGCGCAGGCGGUUUCUUAAGUCUGAUGUGAAAGCCCACGGCUCAACCGUGGAGGGUCAUUGGAAACUGGGAGACUUGAGUGCAGAAGAGAAGAGCGGAAUUCCACGUGUAGCGGUGAAAUGCGUAGAGAUGUGGAGGAACACCAGUGGCGAAGGCGGCUCUUUGGUCUGUAACUGACGCUGAGGCGCG